rnacentral:rRNA from 1 species
AUACGUAGGGGGCGAGCGUUGUCCGGAAUGAUUGGGCGUAAAGGGCGCGUAGGCGGCCCGGUACGUCUGUAGUGAAAGUCCUGUGUUUAAGAUGGGAAUUGCUUUGGAUACUGUCGGGCUUGAGUGCAGGAGAGGUAAGUGGAAUUCCCAGUGUAGCGGUGAAAUGCGUAGAGAUUGGGAGGAACACCAGUGGCGAAGGCGACUUACUGGACUGUAACUGACGCUGAGGCGCGAAAGUGUGGGGAGCAAACAGGAUUAGAUCCCCUGGUAGUCCACACUGUAAACGAUGAAUGCUAGGUGUAGGGGGUAUCGACCCCUUCUGUGCCGCAGUCAACACAAUAAGCAUUCCGCCUGGGGAGUACGGCCGCAAGGUUGAAACUCAAAGGAAUUGACGGGG